rnacentral:tRNA from 1 species
AGCGGGUGUAGUUUAGUGGUAAAACUACAGCCUUCCAAGCUGUUGUCGCGAGUUCGAUUCUGCGCACGCCU